AAAAGAACGCGUGCAAAAACCAUAAUCGACCUUCGUCGAUUUUUUUAUUUCAAAAUUAAAGAAACGGCUUGAGAUAUUCCGAGCAAUUAUAAAAAUUAAUUUGUCUUGAAUAUUGCUACUACAUUCUUGAAAAAGUGAUGUAGAUUUAUAGCCCAUAACUUUUUUUGAAUUACAUCGACGAUACGGCGUCGAAAGAAAAAUAAAUAGACCGUAUGAAAGAAAAAG
rnacentral:ncRNA from 1 species